UAACGAAUCUUCCGCAAUGUACGCAAGUAUGACGGAGCGACGCCGCGUGUAGGACGAAGCCCUUCGGGGUGUAAACUACUGUCAGGGGUUAGAAAGUUCUGAUCGACCCCAGAGGAAGGCACGGCUAACUCUGUGCCAGCAGCCGCGGUAAGACAGAGGUGCCAAGCGUUAGGCGGAAUCACUGGGCUUAAAGCGUGUGUAGGCGGAUUUCUAAGUACCUUGUGAAAUCCCACGGCUCAACCGUGGAACUGCUUGGUAUACUGGUUAUCUUGAGCCAACUAGGGGCUACCGGAACAAAUGGUGGAGCGGUGAAAUGCGUAGAUAUCAUUUGGAACGCCAAUGGUGAAAACAGGUAGCUGGGGUUGUGCUGACGCUGAGACACGAAAGCCAGGGGAGCAAACGGGAUUAGAUACCCCCGUAGUCC
rnacentral:rRNA from 1 species